rnacentral:tRNA from 1 species
GCCCGGAUGGCGAAAUUGGUAGACGCAAGGGACUUAAAAUCCCUCGGGAGUUUUUCCUGUGCCGGUUCAAAUCCGGCUCCGGGCA